rnacentral:pre_miRNA from 1 species
CACGUACUCCUUCCGUCGCAAAAUUUUUGUCUACGGAUGUAUCAAGUCUCGUUUUAAUAUUAGAUACAUCCGUAUCUAGACAAAUCUAAGAUAAGAAUUUUGAGACGGAGGGAGGGAGUA